rnacentral:rRNA from 1 species
UACAGAGGUCCCAAGCGUUGUUCGGAUUCACUGGGCGUAAAGGGCGCGUAGGCGGGAUGGCAAGUCGGUCGUGAAAUCCCUCGGCUCAACUGAGGAUCGUCGAUCGAUACUGCCGUUCUUGAGGAUUGCAGAGGAGACUGGAAUUCCCGGUGUAGCGGUGAAAUGUGUAGAGAUCGGGAGGAACACCGGUGGCGAAGGCGGGUCUCUGGGCAAUUCCUGACGCUGAGGCGCGAAAGCGUGGGGAGCAAACGGG